GCCCGCCUAGCUCAAUCGGAUAGAGCGUCAGACUCUUAUGAGACCCGGGUGAAUACCAAUCUGAAGGCUGGGGGUUCGACCCCCCCGGUGGGCU